CAGUAGGGAGGAAGGUAGUGUAGUUAACACCUGCAUUAUUUGACGUUACCUACAGAAGAAGCACCGGCUAACUCCGUGCCAGCAGCCGCGGUAAUACGGAGGGUGCGAGCGUUAAUCGGAAUUACUGGGCGUAAAGCGCAUGCAGGCGGCCUGUUAAGUCAGAUGUGAAAGACCCGGGGCGUUAACCUCGGAAUUGCAUUUGAAACUAGGCAGGCUAGAGUCUUGUAGAGGGGGGUAGGAAGUUUCAGGUGUAGCGGUGAAAUGCGUAGAGAUCUGAAGGAAUACCAGUGGCGAAGGCGGCCCCCUCGGACAAAGACUGACGCUCAGAUGCGAAAGCGUGGGGAGCAAACAGGAUUAGAUACCCUGGUAG
rnacentral:rRNA from 1 species